rnacentral:lncRNA from 1 species
AUCAUCAUCAUCGGUAACGUUUACAGAUUUAAUUUCCGGUCUAAUUGGUACAAUUCUUCCGUCGGACCCGUCGUUGACCGCCGUUGAUUUUUAAGUCUCCCCUGCCGUAAGAACUCUAUUUAACAUUGACCUACGACGGCGUUCAACUUCUUCGUUCUUGCUUCUCAAGAAGGAGAUGAUUCUGAUGAUGAUGAUGAUGAUGAUGAAGUGGUUUGAGCUUUGUUUGUGAGUAGAGACAAGAGAUGUCCCCAGCUUUCUUUGACAUAAAGUGCAGCGUAAUAGUCUCUGUACUGCUCGUGUGCGUUUAACCAAGACUCUCCCAUCAUUUCCCCGAGAUAAGUCUCUCUCAAGCCGCAGAAAUGGGAGUGAUUGUUCAUCAUAAAGAUGCAAGAAAGAGCGGUUUCUUUGUUGGAACUUGACCAUGCGUCCAAGUUCAAAGCAAUCUCUCUCAGUAUGUUGUAGAUGUGACCUGUGAGAAGCUCUUCUUGAUACUUUGCGUUCUUCCAUCCCAAAUCAAUUUCUAGGACCUUCGACAAGAUUGGCUUGUUGUUGUUCCCCAGUAGCUUGUUGCAGUACUCAGUCACAACGCUUACAAGCUUUGGGACACCUCCAUCAAGAGGUGGGCAAUUUGGUCUCUGUAGCUCUACCUGACAAGGUAACUCCCAGAAGAUCUCGGAGACACCCUUAACGAGAUUGCUGAUUAGCUCCCGUGUAACUCUGCGUAUCUCUGAACAUUGUUCCCCUCGAAAUAGCCUGUUAAACUCUAUCCGAAAGUUGUCCAUUGUAGAGAAACAAUCUAAGAGCUUGAUCAGCUUUGGUGGCUCUCUCUUGCAUUUGCUGAUUCUUGAUCCAAAUCUGAGAAGCUGAAGGAUCACUGAAUUUGAAGCUAUUUCUCCAAAGCAACGCAAGGGAACAUCUUCUCCAAUAUCUUCAAAUACGUCAUAGCAGAGCUUACUCUCAAACUCAUAACUAAUCUCAAACCGUUUCUGAAUGACCUUGGUGCGGACUUUGAUGUAAACUGGUACGCAGCUUGUUAACCGCGUGUGAGCAUGUAAUCUCUUGAUGAUAGCCUGCAACUUUCUCAAGUUGUCUUCUGAGAAAACCGGCUUCUCUUGGAGAAUCCGCUUGAAUUCUGUUUCAAGAUUCUUCAGCGCUGUGUAAAGAAUACCUCCUUUGAGAUAAGCACGAGACUCGGUCAUUUGCAAUUCCCGGAGAAGCUCUAUGGAAGUCUUGAACCGCAAACCGCAAGGAUGAUCUUCAGGCAUUCCCUUUUCGGUUAGGUACUCGAUCGUAUCUUCUAGCCAGUUAAGAGCAAGAACACAGCUACUGGAGAGAAGCUUCAUCGCUUCUCCAAGACGUUUAACAUCCGAAACAUAACCAAGGACUCCAUCAGAGGACACGAGAGAUCUCUCAAGCUCUUGAACCGUAGCAAAGACUCUCAGGACAGCGGAUAUUGGAGCAAUGGUGUGACGGAUAUGAUCAGAGAAAGGAGAAGCCUUCCAUCUCUCAACUUUAAGAUCAGCUUCUAAAGACGACAACUUAUGGUUGAUCUCUUCAAUCUUGGAUCCAGUCUUGUUAAGAACCAAUGAAAAGGUUUCAGAUUUCUCCAUCUCACUCUUCAAUAAACUUCUCAUUGCUUUAAGCCUCUCAAGUCUCUUUGAUUCAGCCAUUGUUUUGCUGCUUACUCAGUGGAGGAGGAUAUGAUUGUUGCUUCAACAACUAUAUAUGGAUUUGAUAACAAUCCUUUAUCCUCGGAAGAUAAACCAAAUUUCUUACCAAACCCACCAAAAUAAGUAAUUACCAGUGUUCUUCUUCUAAAGACUUCUAUAAACCAAAACAAGAUCACAUAUAAUCAUUAACUUAAAGCAAAACCCAAAGUCUUGUUUUAUUUGUUAGUCAG